rnacentral:lncRNA from 1 species
AUCAUGGAGGACAUAACACAUGCAUAAAUUCUAAGGACAGGGAGAAUAAAAAACAGCCCCUCCCAAGAACUCACAAACUAUCAAAUGAGAACAAUAAAUAAAUCCUGUACAACAUGAUAAACACUAGCAUAAAGUCAAACACAAGGACAAUAAGGAUCAUAAAGGAAAAUCGACUAUACUUCCAGUACAAUAUCAGAAUAUGACUUAAAUUAACCUAAGAGUUCAUCAAUAGAUUGUUGGCUACAGAAAUUAGGAGUUAUCUGGGUAGUGAUAUUUUAUAGAGACAUUUGAAAUAUAACAUUAAUCUGUGUAUCACUGUGAAAAUAAC